GCGCCGCCUCAGCCCUCAGCCCUCAGCCUCCGCCCUCAGCCCUCAGCCUCCGCCCUCAGCCUCCGUCCCCGGCCCUCAGCCUGCGUUCCCGGCCCUCAGCCUCCGCCCUCAACUCUCAGCCUCCGUCCUCAGCUCUCAGCCUCCGUCCCCCGCCCCGCUUCCCUCGCCGGGAGCCCCGGCCCCGCCAAAGCCCAGCCCCGGCCGUGUGGAAGUCUUCUCUGGAGGCAGCUCUGCUCUCUGGUGGAGUUUGAGGCCAGAAGAUGGAACUCCCUGGCUGCCACCCACCUGCAGCAGCAGCUACAGCUGGGAUCAGCUGUUAUAUAAAUGUCUCUGUAUUAUACUGGAAAUUGAACACUGACAGCGUAGGAGAGACAUGUGAAGAGGAGGAGGAGGAAGAAUUGUUCCAGCAGUGGUGGAUGUAUGUUUGGAUGGUGCAGGUGCCCACUUCAUUCACUGCAUCCCUUCAGCACCAAGAGUUCAACCCAGUGCUGGCUAAUUCCAGGGCCUGAAACUGUAUCUACAUGCAAAUCUCAUCCUUUGGAAUCAACUUUCCUUUGUGUCCUGAUAGCUGUCUUCUUUCAAAAAAAAAAUCCAGUGUUGCCAUUGACCUUGAGUAUUUUUAAGAGGGAAGAGCAGAGGAGGCAAAUAAGUGCAAUUUCAGCCCUUGUUUACCAGUCAUCCCUGAAUGUGCCAAAUGCCACAGCUGCCACUGACUUUGAGGAACCCUGGUAUUUGAAUGAAGCACUGUGGAAAUGGCAGUGGAUAUUACAUGGGAUGGCCCUCACAUGCUCAGCUCCAUUAGCUUGGACAAUUCAAGGGGAUCUCAGCUGGGUUUCCUGGCCAGGUUACAUAGGUCUCCUGGAAGGCAAGUGGUGCUGCUGGAGGAAAAACCAAUCGGUUCAGAGGUCUGGGCCAGUUCUCCAAGUGCUCUACUGCCUCCUUUGUUUCCAACUGUUCUAUUUCCCAAGAAAACAAACAUCUCCACUACAACUUCCAAGUAGAAUGUGGAAGCAGCACAAUCUCCUGAGAUCUGGUUUCCAGACAAAGGGAGUUCAGACAGAAAUUGGAGCUUCUGGUUGUGUUUUGAACUCUGCCUGCCCCCGGUGUUCUCUCUCCUUGAACUGGCAAUAGGAAUUGCAUCUCACUCAUCUGGCUGAACAGUGGCUGCAGUUGCCUUUGACUCGUGUGACUUUAAACAGGACAUUGCUACAAGACUUGAACAAAUACACUGGACUCUAUGAAACCAUCAGAUUUAACUGUCCCUGUGGUACGCACUCCUGGAAACUUGCUAAUUCAUUACGUAACAAAGCAAUUCUCAUGCUGACUGAAAAAAAGAAAAAGCUAGAAUUAUUUUCAAUGACAUAUUCUUUAUUCUUUAUUUUUAUUCAUUAUUAUUUAAAAAGUUAUAUAUUUCAUAUUAAGAGCUACUCACCCUAUGGUAAAAUGUCUUUCAUCUCCUGUAUAAACUUUCUAAAAAUUUGAAAUUCUAUUCAAAGAUUUGGGAGUCCUAAGAGCAGCCUCUGCUGAUGCAUAAGGAAAUUGUUUCUCAAUUUUUCCAGUGGAUGCAUGAGAUUUUUUUUGCAUAUCCACAAGAAGUUUGUAAGAACUGUUCGGUGUUUGUAUGUCACUUGGUAAAUAUAAAAGCCUUCACGGAUUAUAAAUUUAAAGUAACUCAAGUAAAUAAGAGGAUCAGCAUUAAAAAUCUCGGAUGUUAUGAACAAUGUAGUUGAAACCACAAUGGUUUUACGGUGCAACAAUAGAAUUAUGGUACUCUAAUGAGUAGGAUGUCCCUGUCUCUUUCCCCUCCAUAAUAAAUGGGAGUACUGGUGCA
ensembl:lncRNA uncharacterized LOC111936041